rnacentral:rRNA from 1 species
AGCCGGGGUAGUAAGAGGUGUUCUUAAACCCUGAGGGUUUUGGCGGUCUUUUUUCUUAUUAGGGGAACUUGCUCUCUAAUCGAUAACCCUCGUUAAAUUUAACUUAGUUUUUGUUUGUAUAUCGCUGUUGAUGAUGUCUUUUAAGUAGGAUAUUUGUUAAUUUAAAUCUCGAUACAUCAAGUCAAGGUGCAGUUUAUAAUUAAGGUUGAAGUGAGUUACUAUGGGGUAUUGUGGAUGUUUUGGUGUAAUAGGAUCGAAAAUUGGAUUUAAUAGUAAUUUGAUAUUAAUAUGUUUAAAUGAAGCAAGUUUAAAAUGAUGU